rnacentral:lncRNA from 1 species
AAUAAGAAAGGUAAUGGAGAAAUUAUAUGAACGUUUAAUUGUUGGAAUGAAAUGUCUGCAAUGUUUUUUUCAACCUCACCACAUCACUGUGGUUGUAUUWUACGGAUWCAGGAUYAUAUACUAAACCUGCAGGUGAUUAACAUGUUGACACUGAUGACUGAUUUUACCUGCAGGUGAUUAACAUGUUAACACUGAUGACUGAUUUUACCUACAGGUGAUUAGCAUGUUGACACUGAUAACUGAUUUUAAUCUGCAGGUGUGAUAAUAGUUCAACUUAAACUGCAGUGGGAAAAGUAGUAGUUUUAUUGUCCUUAACUCUGAUUCACCAGGAUCACUGAUGGACCAGUCACAUUAAUGUUGAUGUUCUAGAACAGGAUGUGUUGAGACUGUAGAGGACCACUAGACUAGAGAGAGGUCAUCUCUGAUACACCUGGAUCACUGGUGGACCAGUCACAUUUAAUGAAUGAAAUUACGAAGUGGUGGUAGGGUAGAAUAUCUUCAUUGGAGAAGUUGUCUCACAGAGGUACUCUGGAACUCAAUUAGAUGGUGGAACUCAAUUAGAAUUGCGACGUUUGAGAAGUGAUGAGUCCCAGAGACAGACUACAUCUUCUAAUGUUCAUGUUAAUGAUGUUCUCACUGUCUUCCAUCUACUCUACAUAUUUACAGAUGACCUCACUGAGCAGCGAGAUGACCUCAAGAAGGAUAAUAGUAAGUCGGUCUUCAGAUCAUCACUUUGUAAUAUUAUUAGAAACACAAAAGUUUUUACAUUUUUUUUAUUUCCCGACUUCAAGUACACAACAUUUUAAGAAGGUUAUUUUGAGCUCAUUGAAGAUGUUCCUUCUGAUGUUGGAAUAGUGAUAUGAGACAAGGAGUCCCAGAGAGAGACUUCCAUCUUCUAGUGUUUAUGUUAAUCUGUCUGGGUAUUUGGACAGCGGAACCCCUCGCCAACAGCCAAUGAAAUUGCAGGCGCCAAAUACAAAUCAACGAAAUCUCAUAAAUCAAAUUUCUCAAA